UACGUAGGGGGCUAGCGUUGUCCGGAAUCAUUGGGCGUAAAGCGCGCGUAGGCGGUCCGGUAAGUCCGCUGUGAAAGUCGGGGGCUCAACCCUCGGAUGCCGGUGGAUACUGUCGGGCUUGAGUACGGAAGAGGCGAGUGGAAUUCCUGGUGUAGCGGUGAAAUGCGCAGAUAUCAGGAGGAACACCAAUUGCGAAGGCAGCUCGCUGGGACGUUACUGACGCUGAGACGCGAAAGCGUGGGGAGCAAACAGG
rnacentral:rRNA from 1 species